rnacentral:rRNA from 1 species
GACGAACGCUGGCGGCGUGCUUAACACAUGCAAGUCGAGCGGAGCGGCGAACGGGUGAGUAACGCGUGAGUAACUGCCCCCCUCUCUGGGAUAACAGUUGGAAACGGCUGCUAAUACCGGAUAGUGGGGGAUGACUCGCGUCCUAUCCGCUUGUUGGUGGGGUAGUGGCCUACCAAGGCGACGACGGGUAGCCGGCCUGAGAGGAUGAACGGCCACAUUGGGCUGAGACACUGCCCAGACUCCUACGGGGGGCAGCAGGGGGGAAUCUUCCGCAAUGGACGAAAGUCUGACGGAGAAACGCCGCGUGGGUGAUGACGGCCUUCGGGUUGUAAACCGCUUUCAGCCAUGACGCGGUAGUGGCAGAAGAAGCACCGGCUAACUACGUGCCAGCAGCCGCGGUAAUAC